AAACCCGGCUCGCGCUGUUUCUGUUUGUUGAGGGCGUAGCCAAUGGGCGGCCUGCGUUGUUAGCGCGCGCCUUCCGGACCGUCGGUCUCGUUGUCGUUGCCUUCAACUUAAAGGUGUUGCUUGGCCGCCGCCUCGUAGUCCAGUGACUAGUUUCUUGCUCGGCCUCCUGGAGCUGUGGCCCGUGUGGAUUUCCACCUCAGACCUCUGCGCGAGCUCAGCGGGGCCGGAACAUGGCUGCCUCGGGUCUGAAUCAUCUCAAAAAUGACUACAGAAGAAGAUUUUGUCGACCUUCCAGGGCACGGGACAUUAACACAGAGCAAGGCCAGAAUGUUCUGGAAAUCUUACAAGACUGUUUUGAAGAAAAAAGUCUUGCCAAUGAUUUUAGUACAAAUUCUAUGAAAUCAGCGCUUUAUUCAACACCCAAAAUAAAAGACACUUGUAUUCAGUCACCAAGCAAAGAGAAAUCACAUCCAAAGUCAGUUCCAGUUUCUUCAAGGAAGAAAGAAGCAUCUCUGCAGUUUAUUGUAGAACCAAGUGAAGUCACCAACAGAUCAGCUCAGGCCCAUGAAGUUCAUCAGAAAAUUCUGGCAACUGAUAUUAGUUCCAAAAAUACGUCUGAUUCGAAAAAAACGUCAAGUAGAAACAUAAAUGAUCAUCACAGUGAAGCUGAUGACGAAUUUUACUUAUCUGUUGGCUCACCUUCUGUUCUUUUGGAUGCAAAAACAUCUGUAUCGCAAAAUGUUAUUUCAUCUAGUGCCCAAAAGAGAGAGACUUACACUUUUGAAAAUUCAGUAAAUACGCUGCCUUCAAGUACAGAGAUUUCACUUAAAACCAAAAAAAGGUUAAACUUUGAAGAUAAAGUUAUUUUAAGGAAAAUAGAAAUAGAUAAUAAAGUAUCAGAUGAAGAGAAUAAAACAUCAGAAAGACAAGAAAGGCAACCAUUGGGAUCAUCUCAGAAUAAAAUGCAAGAUUCAGAAUAUGAAAUUCAACCACAAGCUAAAAGUUUUUCAACAUUGUUUUUAGAAACGAUAAAACGAAAAAGUGAAUACAGUCCCAUUGUUAGGCAUGCGACAACUGCUCUACCUCAUUCAUGCCCUCCAGAUGAUAAGGAGUUGAUAGAGGAUGAAUUUAUAAUUGACGAGUCAGAUAAAAGUUUUGCCAGUAGAUCUUGGAUUACAAUACCAAGAAAGCCAAGGCCUCUGAAACAACGCAUAACAUCUCCGGCUGAGAGUACUACAGUCCUUCAAGGUAGAAAGUCAAGAGAAAAACAUCAUAAUAUGUCACCUAAGACUUUGACAAAUGACAAACAUUCCCGUAAAACUCACUCAGUAGAGACAUCUCAGCCCUCUGAUAAAACAGUACUGGAUACAAGUAAUGCUUUGACAGGUAAAAUAGUAAAUGAUUGUAGAUCUACAAAAUAUGAAAUGUAUUCUGAGAAUGCAAAAAAAUCAUCUGGAAGCAAAAGGACUAUAAAACAAAAACAGAGAAGAAAAUUUAAGGCUAAACUAGCUAAAGAACAGCUUGACAUGGGACAGUCUAAAGAUGAAAACAUGUAUACAUCACAUAUUACCCAAGACAAAUUUCAAAGAAAUUCGGACAGAAAUAUGGAAGAGUGUGAAGAGAUGGGAAAUGAUCGUGCUUCCAAAAAACAGAUGUCACCUUUGAGAAGCAAGAAAAGUAGCACUAAAAAAGAUAAGGAAGAAUCUAAAAAGAGGCACCUUUCCAGUGAGUCCAAGGACAAACUUAUACGUGAAGAAGUGACUUCAACUGUCAGGAGAAGUCGAAGAAUUUCCAGACGUCCGUCUAAUUGGUGGGUGGUAAAAUCAGAGGAAAGUCCUGUUUAUAGCAAUUCUUCAAUAAGAAAUGAAUUAACAGUGCAUCAUGACAGUAGGCAAAAAUCUGCUAAGAAAACGAAUAAGUCAUCUAAGAAUAUUAAAAAAAAUACUACUCCACUUAAAAGGCAGAAGACAGCAACUAAAGGCAGCCCAAGAGUACAGAAGGUUUUAAAUGCUAAAUGUUCUGGAGGUAUUGUUGAUCAUGAUGAAAUUCCCAGUUGUUCGCAGAGUGAGCCAUUGGAAAGUGAUGAGGCAGACCUGGCUAAGAAGAAAAAUCUUGAUUGUUCUAGAUCUACAGGAAGCUCAAAGAAUCAAGGUGAUAUUAUGACUGUACAGAAUGUUCCUCUAAAGCCUCAGACAUAUGGAUAUACAUGUAAGACACCAACAGAGUCAAACUUGGAUUCUGAAGAGCAUAAGACUUCAAUUUUAGAGGAAAGUGGACCUUCCACGCUCAAGAAUUAUUUAAUGUCUGCAAAGAAGAAUAAUGGUGUAGAUGAUGAGAAAGUUCAUGGAAGUUUAGGUGACUCAAGAGUAAAACGAUCUAAAGUGAUACCAAAGAGCAGAAUCCAUCACAAAUUAGUAUUGCCCUCCAACACACCAAAUGUUCGCAGGACCAAGAGAAUACGUUUGAAACCUUUGGAGUACUGGCGAGGGGAGCGAAUAGAUUAUCAAGGAAGGCCAUCAGGAGGAUUUGUGGUUAGUGGAAUACUCUCUCCAGACACAGUACCAUCUAAAAGGAAGGCAAAAGAAAACAUUGGAAAAGUCGGCAAAAGAGCUAAUAAGAAAAGGAUCUGUCUUGAUAACGAUGAAAGAAAGACUAGCUUAAUGGUAAAUCUAGAUAUACCUCUUGGAGAUCCUUUGCAGCCAACAAGGGUAAAGGACCCAGAAACAAGAGAGAUUAUUCUCCUGGAUCUUAUAAGGCCACAAGAUACAUAUCAAUUUUUUGUUAAGCAUGGUGAGUUGAAGGUAUAUAAGACAUUGGAUACACCUUUUUUUUCUACUGGGAAAUUGAUAUUAGGACCACAAGAAGAAAAGGGAAAGCAGCAUGUUGGCCAGGAUAUAUUGUUUUCCUGAUAUGUUCCUGCAGUAGUUCUUGGAGCAAAAGUUCAUGAUGUGAGUCUCCACACACCGUUCUGUCCAUGUGAGUGGGAGCUGCAAGUUAUCCUACUUUCUAUCCUCCACUUUUUCCUGUAUGUGCUAUACUUUAAUGUGACUGGCAGUGCAGGUUUGUUUAUGUAAACAUAAGCAUCACCAUAAACACAUGAUAUUCAUUAGGAUAUCAUGAUGGCUGUGAGGUCACUAGGCAAUAAAAUUUUUUAACACCAUUAUAACCUUAUAGGACUACUAUUGUGUAUGCAUUUCGGUGUUGACUGAAACACUGUUAUACAGUACAUGACUGUAGCACAAAUUUAACCACUUAAAACAAUACUCUUUUUUAUUAUUUAUCUCACUGUUAUGUAGAGAUAACCAUGAGCUUGACUAGGUAUUCUGUUUAGUGUAUUACAGUACUGGAAUCAAGAUGUUGGCAGGUUUAUAUUCCUUUCUGGAGGAUGUGAGGAUGAAUCUACUUCCAAUCUGCUUCCAGUCUUAUUCAGAUUGUUGGCAGAAUUCAGUUUCAGGUGGUUGUGGGACUAAAGUUCCCAUUUCCUCACUGACUGUUGGCCAGGGUGUCAUUCUUAGUUUCUAGAAAUAACCCAUGUUUAUUGGUAUAUGUCCCCACAUCUUUAGUGCUGGCAAUGAUGCAAGUCCUUUUCAUGCUUCGAAUCUGUGUGACUGUUCAUUCUGCCUCAUUUCUCCCCUGCUUCUGUAACCGGGUUUUUUUUUUGUUGUUUUUUUUUUUAGAAAGUACCCAUUUUUAAGGGUCUGUGUGUUUGGAUUGGGCUCACCUACAUUAUCAAAGCUAACCUCCCCAUGUCAAGACCCCUUUUGCCAUGAAAUUUAAUGUAGUUACAGGUUACAGAGAUUAAAACAGGCACAUUUCUGGGAAGCUGUUCUUUUUCGCACUACAUUUUAAAGUUCCUUUGGAGUAUUAUCACGGUUCAAUUUUGAAUGAGAUUUUUAUUUUUACAGGUUUUUUAUGUUAACUUUGGAGACCUUUUGUGUACUUUACACGAAACACCUUAUAUAAUAAGUACUGGGGAUUCAUUCUAUGUUCCUUCAGGUAACUAUUAUAACAUCAAAAAUCUCCUGAAUGAGGAAAGCGUUCUUCUUUUUACUCAGAUAAAAAGAUGAAAGAUAAACCAAGCUUAAAUGUAUGUGUGUAUAUAUGUAUAUAUAAAAACAGUUUGUAUAGUUGAGAAAUUUAUCUUUGUAAUCACAUAAUGUUUUAAAAUAAACAUUUUAUUCAUUUUUCUGUAGACUUGUAUUUCAUAAACAUUUCUAACUCCCACAUGUUUUCUUCAGCUUUUCAGUGACUAUACAUAAUAGGUUGUAGCAAUGCCCAUAUUUAUGAUACUGCUUUUAUAAUAUGACAAGAAUAUGAAAAUUAAAUAUAGGGCAUUUCUUUAUCAAAAGAGACCUGAUUAAUUAUUCAUUAAAAAACAUCUUUUCCAAAUACUAAUUUUAAAUCAUUGAUUAGUAAAUAGUCCCAUGGGAGAGAACUAUGUUAGAUGGCAUAUUUGUAUUAAUUUCCUAGAACUGCUUAACAAAAUACUAUACAAACUGAAUGACUUAAAGCAACAGAAGUUUAUUAUCUCAAUUCUAGAAGCUAGAAGUCUGAAAUCAAGGUGUUGUCAGGACCAUGAUGUCUUUGAAAAACUGUAAGGGAGAGAAUCCUGCCUUAUUCCUAACUUCUGAUGGUUUACUGGCAAUUUCUGGCAUUCCUUGGCUUGCAAAUGUAGCAUUUCAGUCUACUUCUAUUAUCACAUGGUAUUCUAGUCUAUGUGUCUGUGUUCACAUGAUAUCUAUUUAUUAUAUUACAUAUAAACGUUUUUUCCAUCCUGUUUCGGUUCAUAUUUUCUGUUGGAGGCAGUGUCCUUUGCCAUUGCUUUCUGUGUGUGAACUCAACUUUGCUUUUUAAUAUCAAAUAAAUAUAAGCCACAAAGUCUAAUCAAGGUUUUUUGGUAUCAUUAGCAUAGAAUUAUUAACUCUGAAGAAACUGAUGUUUCAUGAUAAAUUAUUUUUAGGCCAACUCCCUUUUCAGGUCUUAUUUAACUGUUAAAUACACACAUUUAAAGAAACCUGGUGGUAGGACUUAUGUAGAAUAAAGUGUGCUGGCUCUUUUUAUACUUCAUAUUUUUUUUAUUGUGGUUUCUUUAUUGACUCAUUUUGAAUUUAUCUUUAAUUAUUUGAAUAUAUUUGUUAUGAAGUCUUGUUGAAGUCUUGACUCAACAAAUAUCUGGGCUUGUACAGACUUAGUUUUCACUGACUGCUUUUUUUCCUUUCGUAUAUCUCACUUUCCCAUGUUUUUACAUGUUUAAUAAUUUUUGGUUGACAGCUGGACAUUUUAGGCAGUAUAUUAUAGCAGCUCAGUUUUGUUUUAUAUCUAAGGGAUUUGUAUUGUUUUAAAUUUUACAUUUUGACUGAACUCAAACUGUGGAAUCUGUCUUACAAAUGAUGUAAAGUUAUUCCUGUCUCUGCUUA